ACAAAUUCCUCAGUAAUUUCACCAAGACGUCACCUUGGAGUUGUUUGGUCCGUUGAGCGGAUUGGUGAGCAAGCUUCCUCAGUUAGUGGGGCCAUGACGAUGACUUCUGUUUUGCUUGAUCGGACGUUUUACUGCCGUGUUACAGACUUUUGGGAACAAUUAAAGAUUCACAAAUUCCUCAGUAAAUUCACCAAGACGUCACCGUGGAGUUGUUGGGUCUGUUUAGUGGAUUGGAGAGCUGGCUUCCUCAGCUAGUGGGUCCAUGACGAUGACUUCUGUUUUGCUUGAUCGGCCGUUUUACUGCCGUGUUACAGACACUUUUGGGAACAAUUAAAGAUUCACAAAUUCCUCAGUAAAUUCACCAAGACGUCACCUUGGAGUUGUUGGGUCCGUUGAGCGGAUUGGAGAGCAAGCUUCCUCAGCUAGUGGGUCCAUGACGAUGACUUCUGUUUUGCUUGAUCGGACGUUUUA